ACAUACUUCUCCACAGACCAUA
rnacentral:miRNA from 10 species